rnacentral:rRNA from 1 species
AUUGAACGCUGGCGGCAGGCCUAACACAUGCAAGUCGAGCGGAUGAAGGGAGCUUGCUCCUGGAUUCAGCGGCGGACGGGUGAGUAAUGCCUAGGAAUCUGCCUGGUAGUGGGGGAUAACGUCCGGAAACGGGCGCUAAUACCGCAUACGUCCUGAGGGAGAAAGUGGGGGAUCUUCGGACCUCACGCUAUCAGAUGAGCCUAGGUCGGAUUAGCUAGUUGGUGGGGUAAAGGCCUACCAAGGCGACGAUCCGUAACUGGUCUGGGAGGAUGAUCAGUCACACUGGAACUGAGACACGGUCCAGACUCCUACGGGAGGCAGCAGUGGGGAAUAUUGGACAAUGGGCGAAAGCCUGAUCCAGCCAUGCCGCGUGUGUGAAGAAGGUCUUCGGAUUGUAAAGCACUUUAAGUUGGGAGGAAGGGCAGUAAGUUAAUACCUUGCUGUUUUGACGUUACCAACAGAAUAAGCACCGGCUAGCUUCGUG